AUGGAGGACGAGCAGCCCGACAGCUUGGAGGGCUGGGUGCCGGUCCGCGAGGACCUCUUCGCCGAGCCCGAGCGGCACCAGCUGCGCUUCCUGGUGGCCUGGAAUGAUGUGGAGGGCAAGUUCGCCGUGACUUGUCACGACCGCACGGCGCAGCGGCGGCGGCGGCGCGAGGGGAGCCAGCCGGGGCCCGAACCCGCGCCCGAGCCCGAGGCCGCCGCACCCCCGCCCAGUUGGGCGGGCCUGCUCUCGGCUGCCGGGCUCCGCGGCGCGCACCGGCAGCUGGCAGCGCUGUGGCCGCCGCUCGAGCGCUGCUUCCCGCGGUUGCCGCCGGAGCUAGACGCGGGCGGCGGCGGGGCCUGGGGCCUGGGGCUCGGGCUGUGGACGCUGGUGUGGUCGGCGCCCGCAGGCCCGGGCGAGGCGGCGCUGCAGGAGCUGUGCGGGCAGCUGGAACGCUACCUCGGCCAGGCGGCCGACGGCUGCGGCGGCGCGGCGGUGCGCGACGCGCUCUUCCCGGGCCAACGCUGCGCGGCGGACUGCGAGAGCACGCGAGAAUUCCGGGAGCGAGCCCUGCGCGCGCGGCGCGAUGGGGCGAGCGCGCGGCUGCGCCAGUUGCUUCAAGGGCAUGAAAAAGCCAACACCAUGGUAGCAUUAAUGAAAGUGUAUCGAGAGGAAGAUGAAGCGUACCAGGAAUUAGUCACUGCGACAACUAUGUUCUUCCAGUAUUUACUGCAGCCAUUCAGGGACAUGCGAGAACUUGCAACUUCAUGUAAGCUUGCUAUUUUGAAGUCCUUGGAUGAGGAUGAUCUGGGUCCUAAAAGGAUAGUUGCCCUGCAGAAGGAAGCCCAAGAAUGGACCAGACGGGCUGAAGAAGCUAUAGUCUCUGUUCAAGAUAUUACAGUGAAUUAUUUUGAAAAAACGGUAGAAGCAUUAGCAGGAAUGAAGAAACAAAUGGCACAGGAUGAGAAGAGAUUUGGCCAGGCUGCCUGGGCCACAGCAACUCCCAGGUUGGAAAAACUCAAGCUGAUGUUAGCCCGGGAGACUCUACAACUCAUGAGAGCCAAAGAGCUGUGUUUAAAUCACAGAAGAGCUGAAAUUCAGGGCAAGAUGGAAGAUCUUCCAGAACAAGAAAAAAAAAUAAACAUUGUAGAUGACUUAGAAAUACAAUAUUAUGAAGUUCAAUUAGAAUUAUACGAGGUUAAAUUUGAGAUAUUAAAAUAUGAAGAAAUACUGCUUGUUACUCAGUUGGACUCCAUUAAAAGACUUAUAAAAGAUAAACAGGAUGAAGUGAUCUACUACGACCCGUGUGAAAGUCCAGAGGAACUUACGGUCAUGGAUGGUGUAAUGGGGCUACAGGAAGGAAAGCAGCUGGAGGUGGGCGUGCUCAGCCGGCAGUGCCAGCAGCUGGAGUCAAAGCGGGGCAGCAUCUGUGCCAGGAGAGCCCGUCUCAGGAACAGAAAGGAUCAAUGCAAAGAAAAUCAUCGACUCAGACUUCAACAGGCUGAAGAAAGAGUAAAAUAUUCUCAUCAGCACCACAGUGUUCAGAGGAAAAGAGACAAGAAAAAAGAGGAGGAACAAAAGAAAAGAGAAUGGAUAAACCAAGAACGCCAAAAAACCCUCCAAAGAUUAAGAGCAUUUAAAGAGAGAUGUCCAGGCCAGCCUAUCCUAAAGAGCUCUCGCUCACAACCUGUGACUCCAGACCUGCUGAACAGACUACCCAAGCAGAUACCCCCGCCGACUUCUCAGAUGACAGCCGUGAUCCAUCCAUCCUCUAGGAAAACCAGAAGUGCUCCCUUGUCUGAAGUCAGUACUGUGAAAACCCCUGAGCGUGAAGACUGUGCUGGAGACAGCCCUGUUCCAACUUUGGUUCCAACCAGUGACCAAACACAUUCCACGUCAAGUGAGGAACUGCCACUGCCGCCACCGCCUCCGCCUCCCCCGCCACCUCCUCCCCCCCCACCGCCGCCGCCCCUCCCUGCUCAGCCCUUUUCUUCUCAACCUGCAAAUCAUCGGAAUUUACGCUUCGGGACUUCAGUGAAAGAUGAUCAGCCACUUCCACUGGCGUGUGAAUCACCCACUGAGAGCCCACGAGGCCCUGUAGACAGUUUUAGUGGCCCAGGGUCGAUGGAUGAAGUGCUGGCCUCCCUAAGGCAUGGCAGGGAGGUGCAGAAGGUGCAGGCGCCCGCUUUGCCCCCUCCCCGAGCCUCAGUCAACGAGCACAUUCUGGCUGCCAUAAGGCAGGGGGUCAAACUGAAGAAGGUCCACCCUGCCCCUGGCCCGAGCCCCAGCAGUAAACCCACCAGCGACCUGGAGAAGAGCAUCAAGGCAGCGCUGCAGAGAAUCAAGAGGGUGUCUGCUGACUCGGAGGAAGAGGAGGAGGAAGGCGAUGAGCAGGGCCCCCACGAGUGGGAUCAUUAG
rnacentral:lncRNA from 1 species